rnacentral:rRNA from 1 species
UGGGCUUGAACUGCAGAGGAAACUAUCUGAAAGGAUAGCCUCCUUCGGGAUCUCUGUAGAGGUGCUGCAUGGCUGUCGUCAGCUCGUGUCGUGAGAUGUUGGGUUAAGUCCUGCAACGAGCGCAACCCUUGCCGUUAGUUGCCAUCAGGUAAUGCUGAGCACUCUAGCGGGACCGCCGGCGUUAAGCCGGAGGAAGGUGGGGAUGACGUCAAGUCCUCAUGGCCCUUACGUCCAGGGCUACACACGUGCUACAAUGGGAGGUACAGAGGGUCGCGAUACCGCGAGGUGGAGCUAAUCCCAGAAAACCUUCCUCAGUUCGGAUUGCAGUCUGCAACUCGACUGCAUGAAGU